CAUCUGGAAGAAGUUACACUCAGUGGACAGAUGUUAAGUUAAGUUUGACAUGACUUAGGGAGUACAGGCAUCGUGAGCGGUGUGGUCCUUGUCUGAAAAAUCCCUUGAAUUUCUUUGAUUGCUGUAAACCAGCGGCUUCAAGAUGUGUUGGGUAAUUUAUGUGAUUUUUAUCCUGAAGAUCAACUGGGCUUUUCCGAAAGCUGAGGCUUGGGUUCCCACGAGACAAGCUAAUAGUACUACACAUACUGCAAGCACUAUGCCUGGAUCGCACAUUAUAGCUGUCAUUGUUCCGUGUAUUGUUGGAGCCGCCGUAAUCG